rnacentral:rRNA from 1 species
UACGAAGGGGGCUAGCGUUGCUCGGAAUUACUGGGCGUAAAGCGCACGUAGGCGGCUUUCUAAGUCGGGGGUGAAAUCCUGGAGCUCAACUCCAGAACUGCCUUCGAUACUGGAAAGCUCGAGUCCGGGAGAGGUGAGUGGAACUGCGAGUGUAGAGGUGAAAUUCGUAGAUAUUCGCAAGAACACCAGUGGCGAAGGCGGCUCACUGGCCCGGUACUGACGCUGAGGCGCGAAAGCUAGGGUAGCAAACAGG